ensembl:lncRNA
CCUGCCUGCAGGCAGCUGAGGAGAACAGGCCUACACAGAGUCCCACCUCCUCCUCCCUACUAUCUGGCCUGUCCAGUCUGGAGAUGUCCCCAGUUCGUUGGUGAAUUUAUUUAGGCUCAAAUGGCCUUUCCAUGGUCACAAAGCCAGCUGAACGAGGAGGAAAGAACCCAGGUUCACCGCAGGGUUCAGAAGGCAGCAAGGGCUGCAGCAGCCCAGCAGGGGACUGCUGAACAUGGCAGUGCUCAGGCCCCUGUCACCCACGUGUGCCUUAGACCCGCCCCUGUGAAGCCCCGCCCCCUGCGUACAGACUGUGGUUUCCAGGGCCACAUAAACAAGCCAGUUCUUUUUCCCUUAGUUCAUUCAUUAAUUCCUUUAAUGUCUGUAAUUGUAGCACACGUUUUGUCCUUUGUCAGCCUUCAUUACAGUGAGGUUUACAUUUGGUAGUUUUUUUAUUCUUUGUUUUGACCUUUAUUUUGGUAGCAGACAGUUUUUUUUCAGUCAAAAUUAGAGUGACCUUUAUUAACAGAAAAAAAUAGGUCAUAAUCCCAUCACAGAUUAUUGCAUUUCCCACGGAAUUUUCUGUUGAGUCCAUUAUAUCAAAAAAACCCAAUGAUUGUUGAGGGAAACACUUCCUUGAAUACUCCCAUCGAAAGCCUGUUGCCCAUGAUUUGAUGAAUUGACGUUCAUCAGAGAGAAAGACGUUCUGAGAACGAAGGAGGCAAGGCAAGCUUUGCCUGCUUAAUGCUUGGACUGUCUGUGAGUAAAAACCCAGAGAAAGACAGCUGCCAACUGAGUUAUUGACAAUUCAGCCACUGGAAAAAUGAGCCCUGCUGGACACAUCCCAGAGAAAGCUGUACAGAGAUGUGAUGCUGGGAAAUAUCAGUCAUCUGGUCUCCAUGGACUGAAGAUUCUGCAUUCUGUCCUUGAACUUGGGCAUGGACAUCAGCAUCCAGAGGUCCUCAAAAUUUUGGACAAACAAUCCAGAUUUCUUCCUUGUCUGGUGAAGGACCUUCAGUGUUUUCCCUGUUCAGGGUGUUGUUGCCUGAGCUGAACUUCAGUGUUCUCCUCAUUCUUCCUCAGUAGCCUGUCCUGGACUUGAUGAUAAUGCAGGUUAUUAUCAUGGAACUCAAAAUCCACCUGCCUUUGUUGCAUGAACAGGGUAUCAGCAUUGCAAAUCAGAUGUGAUUUUCCAGUUGGAGCAAGAAGAGCUGUGGAGUGAAGGAACAGGAUUUUUCCAAGGCCAGAGUCCAGGCAGGGAGAGUGGCCGUAAAGAACAAGAAAUGAUAGACACACAGCUUAUCAGCAAGGACACAUCUGCAAACACACCAAUGAGCAGAAAUCUCACACUCUAGGGAAUCCAUUUGAAUGUAAUCAUUUGGGAGAAGAUUUCACUCAUAACUCAACACUGACUCAACAUUUGUUAACUUACACGAAUACUCACACAUUAACUCACCCUGUAUCAGCAAACAGUGUCAAAAAUCCCUUAGUGACCACUCAUACUUGAAUCAACAUAAGCAGAGUCUCUCUAGAGGUGAAUCCUGUGAGUGCCAUCUGUGUGGGAAAGCCUUUAGUAACUGCUCUAGCCUUAGAUGACAUGAGAUGACUGAUACUGGAGAGAAACUGUACGAAUGCCAUAUAUGCGGGAAUGCCUUUAUUCAAAGCUCUGACCUUAGAAAACAUAAUCUAACUCGCACUGGAGAGAAACCAUAUGAAUGUCACCUCGGUG